CUCCAUUCUCAGCCUAUGACAAACACACACAAAGAAUACAGGUGGUUGGUCAGAGUGGUUCAGAUGCUUCAUUGAUGACUUUUCUUUUGCCUUUCCCGAUGACACAGAUGAAGACGAAGACUGUCUCUCUGUAAGCUCAUCUGCACUCGGGACCCUACCCAGAAGACAGAGGUCUAUCCUCACAACUAGUUUUUUCAGGCCUCGAUGAGGGAUGGUGGGGGACUUUUCAGUCCGGCCAAAAGGAACGAGUGUAUAGAGUUUGUGUCUCCCCCGACUGUGUUUUUCUGUUUCAGGGGUACUUAAGCAGGACCUCUCGGGGUGACUACUUGAGCCUGAAUUUUGUUUCUCAUGCCUGCUCUUUGAUACAGUUUUUUUGUUUGAUGUUGAAUCUGCAGGGACUUUCGCAAUGUUCCUGGGUGGACUAGACUCAGAGUCUGAUUCAGAGGAAGAUGAUGAGGAUGAAAAGGAAGAUGAGGAUGAAGAAGAUAAUGGAUGGGUGGGCUUGACGACAGGAGUAGGGGUAGGUGGAGAGAGUGGAGGAGAAGGGCUAGAGUCUGUCACAUAAGGACGUGAGGAAACGUCUCCGUUACUCCACCGUCUCUUCUUCCUCCUCUGCUCCUCAAGGUUGGGUCCAUUGCAUUCCCUUUGUGUGUGAUGCUGGCUUGUGUGAGGUCUUUGUUUGGGCUGAACUGCCCUCCAUUCAGCUUCCGGUUCCC
rnacentral:lncRNA from 1 species